GAUGAACGCUGGCGGCGUGCCUAAUACAUGCAAGUAGAACGCUGAAGCUUGGUGCUUGCACCGAGCGGAUGAGUUGCGAACGGGUGAGUAACGCGUAGGUAACCUGCCUCUUAGCGGGGGAUAACUAUUGGAAACGAUAGCUAAUACCGCAUAAAAGUCGACAUCGCAUGAUGUUGACUUGAAAGGUGCAAUUGCAUCACUAAGAGAUGGACCUGCGUUGUAUUAGCUAGUUGGUGAGGUAACGGCUCACCAAGGCGACGAUACAUAGCCGACCUGAGAGGGUGAUCGGCCACACUGGGACUGAGACACGGCCCAGACUCCUACGGGAGGCAGCAGUAGGGAAUCUUCGGCAAUGGGGGCAACCCUGACCGAGCAACGCCGCGUGAGUGAAGAAGGUUUUCGGAUCGUAAAGCUCUGUUGUAAGAGAAGAACGAGUGUGAGAGUGGAAAGUUCACACUGUGACGGUAACUUACCAGAAAGGGACGGCUAACUACGUGCCAGCAGCCGCGGUAAUACGUAGGUCCCGAGCGUUAUCCGGAUUUAUUGGGCGUAAAGCGAGCGCAGGCGGUUAGAUAAGUCUGAAGUUAAAGGCUGUGGCUUAACCAUAGUACGCUUUGGAAACUGUUUAACUUGAGUGCAGAAGGGGAGAGUGGAAUUCCAUGUGUAGCGGUGAAAUGCGUAGAUAUAUGGAGGAACACCGGUGGCGAAAGCGGCUCUCUGGUCUGUAACUGACGCUGAGGCUCGAAAGCGUGGGGAGCGAACAGG
rnacentral:rRNA from 1 species